UAAUCCUACGGGACGCAGCAGUGAGGAAUAUUGGUCAAUGGGCGCAGGCCUGAACCAGCCAAGUCGCGUGAGGGAAGACUGCCCUAUGGGUUGUAAACCUCUUUUAUAAGGGAAGAAUAAUGACUACGUGUAGUCAGAUGCCCGUACCUUAUGAAUAAGCAUCGGCUAACUCCGUGCCAGCAGCCGCGGUAAUACGGAGGAUGCGAGCGUUAUCCGGAUUUAUUGGGUUUAAAGGGUGCGCAGGCGGCGAGUUAAGUCAGCGGUAAAAUUUCGGGGCUCAACCCCGACGAGCCGUUGAAACUGGG
rnacentral:rRNA from 1 species